rnacentral:rRNA from 1 species
GAGACAGCCAGGAGGUUGGCUUAGAAGCAGCCAUCCUUGAAAGAGUGCGUAAUAGCUCACUGGUCGAGUGAUUCUGCGCCGAUAAUGUAGCGGGGCUCAAGUACACCGCCGAAGUCGUGUCGCCACACAUGUUGUGGUGGGUAGGGGAGCGUCGUGUGCCGGGUGAAGCAGCCGUGGAAGCGUGUUGUGGAUGGUUCACGAGUGAGAAUGCAGGCAUGAGUAGCGAUACACACGUGGGAAACGUGUGCGCCGAUU